rnacentral:rRNA from 1 species
GUGACCCAAGUCAAGUGGGAUUACCCGCUGAAUUUAAGCAUAUCAAUAAGAAGAGGAAAAGAAACUUACAAGGAUUCCCCUAGUAACGACGAGCGAACCGGGAAGAGCCUAGCUUGAGAAUCGGGCAGCUCCAU